CCGCAAAAAGCCCAGUUUAAUGGAACGCAGCCCGCCAGCUCCCACCUCCCAGUGUACCACUGGGCCUGUCGACGGCGUCCGGCUCUUCGCCGGCGAAGAACGCUCCCGGCCCGGCGGCGCCGGCACCCCCGCUAUCCACGUUGGUCUGAGUUAUCGUGUCAGCGUAUCUCCAUUCUCCUCCCCUCGCCGCAAUGUCACCGGUGGGAAGGUAUCUCAGGCGUCGCAUCUGAUUCCGGGUUUGGAGUUGCAGAGCUUCGACGCUGGUGAUGAGUGAUUUGGGGAUUAAAGUUGCGCCUGCAGGGUGAUGAAGUAUGCCUGUCUUGACUAGCUCAACUGCUGCCAAGGAUCAGAUAACUGCGAUUGUUGUUUGGACACUGAGAAAGUAGGAUAGCGGUUUUGUGUAAUAGCUAGCUUCAUAAACAACAUUGGCGCAAAUGUUGUUCAUGUGCAGACGGAGGAAGGACCACAAGAAAGAAGGAAGGUGAAGCUACAUGCUGGGGACUGAUGUAUUUGACACGCCGUUGAUGGCUUAAGAUACAGUAAGAUGGCGAUUCCUGCUCCUGGUAGAUGGUAAAUCUGUAUGUCAUUUGAAUCGGUUCUGACUUCUGACAAAGGUUGAUACAGAGGUAGGACUACAAGAAAGAAGUAAGGUGAAAAUACAGCUGGAGGCUGAUGUGUUUGACAUGCCCUUGAAGGAGAUCCUGGAGCACAACAUCACUGUUCUCGUUCCUCAUUAGAAGCUCAGCAACCUCUGCAGAAUCCGGAACGACUCUGCAGUGCAGUACCCCAUGUGGAUGUGCAUGUCCAUCCUGCCAGGCCGCAGUAAUGCUGGGUCAAGCCGCUCCCUGUAAUUAGUGGUGAAAACGAUGAUCCUCUCCUCCCCGCUUGUCGACCAGAGACCGUCAACGAAGUUGAGCAGCCCAGAUAGCGUCACCUGUUCGACAAAAUUACCAGCAGCAUUGGUAAUGAACUGGACCUGGCACGCUUCUCACCGUCUUCCCGCUGCUGCAGCUCAAUGCUACAGUCAAUGUCUUCAACCACAAGGAUGGAUCGGUUGCUCAUCCCGACAAGAAGCCUCCGGAGGUCCGAGUUGCAUUUGACCUCGGUCAGCUCAAGAUCAUAUAUGUCAAACUUGAGGUAAUUCGCCAUUGCGGCGAUCAGGCUUGACUUGCCGGUCCCAGGUGGCCCGUAGAGCAGACCGUUUCAGCUUCUUGUCCAUGGCGAGCGUGUCGAAGGUAGACGGGUGGCGGAGGUCGACGGCUGUCCAGGCGUCGUACUCGAUCAUGUGCAUCUUGAGGCUCCGGUGCUGGUCCUUCAUGGCCUUGGCCGUGGCGACGAUGUGCGGGAGAAAUUGGCUAGUGGUUUCCUAUUUUAGUCAUCGUCUCCGUCAUCUUGCUCCUCAUCCUGCUGGUUAUUUGCACUGAUGUGUUCGGUAUUUAUCACACUGCUGGCAUCAUUCGAUUUUGACUUCAGGACGUCAACAAGAUCAUGGAGCGCGACAUCAGCGUCAUCAUUCCUCAUCAGAACCUCAGCAACCUCUGCAGCGGUCACCAUCACCUCAUCGAUCAGCUUCUCGAUCUCCGGAUACAUGGCAUGGUAGUCGAUCAAGUGGUAGUUUUUGGCAAGGAUCCGGAACGACUCAGGGGUGCAGUAGCCCAUGUAGAUGUGCAUGUCCAUCCUGCCAGGCCGCAGCAGCGCCGGGUCAAGCCGCUCCUUGUAAUUGGUCGUGAACACGAUGAUCCUCUCCUCCCCGCCCGCAGACCACAGCCCAUCAACAAAGUUGAGCAGUCCAGAAAGUGUCACCUGUGUGGAACAUUCAGAUUCUCGUCAGCAUAUCAGAAUAUAGCCAAGGAAGAAGUUAUGGAACGAAGAAGAAAAGGUGUUAACUUAUCAACACAUGAUGCGCUGAUCUGACUCCAAAUUUGAUGGUGCAGUCGAUAUCCUCAACCACGAGAAUUGAUCGGCUGCUAAUGCCGACAAGGAGCCUCAUGAGGUACGAGUUGCUCUCGACCGCAGUCAGCUCGAGAUCAUAGAUGUCGAACCUGAGAUGGUUGGCCAUAGCCGCGAUCAGGCUGGACUUGCCGGUCCCAGGUGGGCCGUAGAGCAGCUUGAGGUCCAUGGCAAGCGUGUCGAAGGUCGAUGGGUGGUGGAGGUCCAUCGGAGACCAGACGUCCAAGACCUCGUUCAUGUGUAUCUGGAGGGCUCUCUCCUGCUGCAUCAGGGCCUUGGCCGUGGCCACGAUGAACGGGAGGU